CUAUGGCAGCUUUACUUCAGCUGUGCCUGGUGUCUCUGAAUCCAUAGUCCUGCCACUUCAGUAUCUCCAAAAGAGCAAUGAACCAGCCGCCAGCUGAGCUGCUCAGGCAGAGCGAUCCCGGGCUGACUGAGCCCCGCUCAGUCCGGCUCGCUAUGCCCAAUUGCGACCAGGAGACUCUGAGGACACCCCCGGGCAUGCCCACCAACCGCCAGCUUAGCCGCUUGGGUGCCUGCAACAACAGACACUGCCUCGCCCCCGCCUCCCCCCGCCUCUGGCCUCUGUGCUGUGCAGCUACCUGGUUCCACACCACAGAGGCAAAGGGGGACAUAAAGGCCAUUGUCCUGAGCUACAGAAGUGAACAGCAGAAAGAGGGCCUCUUUCAGGCUCCUUGAUGAAAACAAGCCCACUGGAAAAGUGAAGAGAAUCUCUCCAAUAAAGGCACACCAGACCACCAUACUUGGUCUCCACUCAAGGUUUCUCUUAUGAACGCAUCACUGAACUUGAAAGAAUUCUUAAGGAGGACUGGAAACCAUACUGCCUUAGGAUUCCUGCAUUUUCUGUUUGCUGUGGAUUAAAUAUUGUUUUCAUCUCCCUCAAAGCUGAGAUAUUGAAAGCCUGUGAACACUGAAAUCUGCAGCUACUGAGCGAUAUGUGCUUGCAAUACUGAUGAGGCUUUUGUCUUGUCAUUAUUUUCUCACUGGAAAAUCACGAAAAACAGGACAGAAAGAAACAGAACUUUUCUCUCCAUCCUGUUAUUUGCUCCAAAGAUUGCUCUGUGGGGCCAUCAGAAUAGAACAGUAUAGUUCUCCUAUUUUAGCAAAGACUAAAGAAUGAGAAAAGAAAGCUCAGCGCCAGUACCAGUCAUGGCUUUAUUUAGAUGGGAAACCAGAUGGAGAAGAAGAGCAAGGCCAAACGCGAACAUCCAUCUUUCCCUCGUGGAUGUACAAGUGCUCUACCAUUGGAGCCAGAAGAGAUGGAGCCUGGAGCUGCAGCACAGCUAUUUAAUGUGUCUCAUAGAACCUGUCAGCGUACAGAGAAGGACACUGAAGCCUAGAAAAAGUCUGGAGAGUUUCGCAAGGCUGUACAUCUGUUUAAUGGUGGAACUAGAAUUACAGCCUUGUUCUCUGGUCUCCCUAAAUAUUGUUGGUUUCAUGAAAGAAUCAACAAACGUCCUUCCACAAAUGCCACGCUGAAAAUUGCUAGGAACUUAAGCUGGUGGAAGAGGAAGAAGACUAUAUUAUACUUGUGGGGCUGAAUGUACCUGGGAAAUGGGGAGAUGGUUGGGAUUAUAUCUCAAAUGU
ensembl:lncRNA